AUACGGAGGGCACGAGCGUUGUUCGGAAUCAUUGGGCGUAAAGCGGGUGUAGGCGGUUUGGCAAGUCGAGUGUGAAAUCCCAGGGCCCAACCCUGGAACUGCACUCGAUACUGCUUGACUAGAGUCCCGGAGAGGGUGGCGGAAUUCCCGGUGUAGAGGUGAAAUUCGUAGAUAUCGGGAGGAACACCAGUGGCGAAGGCGGCCACCUGGACGGUGACUGACGCUCAGACCCGAAAGCGUGGGGAGCAAACAGGAUUAGAAACCCCGGUAGUCC
rnacentral:rRNA from 1 species